CACCCCACUACAGACGGUGUCCUUGGUACCUGUUAGGACAGUCUUACUGGUGUCCACGCCGGUCUGGAUGGUUCCUUUGGCCACAUUCAUGGCACCAGUCACCCCACUACAGACGGUGUCCUUGGUACCUGUUAGGACAGUCUUACUGGUGUCCACGCCGGUCUGGAUGGUUCCUUUGGCCACAUUCAUGGCACCAGUCACCCCACUACAGACGGUGUCCUUGGUACCUGUUAGGACAGUCUUACUGGUGUCCACACCGGUCUGAAUGCUUCCUCUGGCCACAUUCACUGCCCCCGUGAGCCCAGUGGACACCGUGUCCUUGGUGCCGGUGAGGACAGCCUUCGAGGUGUCCAGACCCCCUUGGACGGCCCCCUU
rnacentral:lncRNA from 1 species